CAAUAGCGUAUAUUAAAGUUGUUGCGGUUAAAAAGCUCGUAGUUGGAUUUCUGCCGAGGACGACCGGUCCGCCCUCCGGGUGAGUAUCUGGCUCGGCCUGGGCAUCUUCUUGGAGAACGUAGCUGCACUUGGCUGUGUGGUGCGGUAUUCAGGACUUUUACUUUGAGGAAAUUAGAGUGUUUCAAGCAGGCACACGCCUUGAAUACAUUAGCAUGGAAUAAUAAGAUAGGACCUCGGUUCUAUUUUGUUGGUUUCUAGAUCUGAGGUAAUGAUUAAUAGGGAUAGUUGGGGGCAUUCGUAUUUAACUGUCAGAGGUGAAAUUCUUGGAUUUGUUAAAGACAGACUACUGCGAAAGCAUUUGCCAAGGAUGUUUUCAUUGA
rnacentral:rRNA from 1 species